rnacentral:lncRNA from 1 species
GGGGCAGGAAUUUCACUUCCUCCCACGCCACCCCUUGCCUCCCCUCCCACUCUAGCCACUCCUCCAAGCACUACUCGCACUCCCCCUCCAGGCACUACACCCCCUCCAGGCACUACUCCGCCUCCAGGCACUCCGCCUCCAGGCACUCCCCCUCCAGGCACUACACCCCCUCCAGGCACUCCCCCUCCAGGCACUACACCACCUCCAGGCACUCCCCCUCCAGGCACUACACCACCUCCAGGCACUCCCCCUCCAGGCACUACACCCCCUCCAGGCACUACACCUCCUCCAGGCACUCCUCCAGGCACUACACCCCCUCCAGGCACUCGACCCCCUCCAGGCACUCCUCCACCCCCUCCAGCAACUCCAGCC